CCUACGGGAGGCCGCAGUGAGGAAUAUUGGUCAAUGGGCGCGAGCCUGAACCAGCCAAGUCGCGUGAGGGAGGACGGCCCUACGGGUUGUAAACCUCUUUUGCCGGGGAGCAACGGGCGUCACGUGUGGCGCCACUGAGUGUACCCGGAGAAAAAGCAUUGGCAAACUCCGUGCCAGCAGCCGCGGUAAUACGGAGGAUGCGAGCGUUAUCCGGAUUUAUUGGGUUAAAGGGGCGCGUAGGCGGAUCGUUAAGUCAGUGGUCAAAUUGAGGGGCUCAACCCCUUCCCGCCAUUGAAACUGGCGUUCUUGAGUGGAAGAGAAGUAUGCGGAAUGCGUGGUGUAGCGGUGAAAUGCAUAGAUAUCACGCAGAACCCCGAUUGCGAAGGCAGCAUGCCGGCUUCCGACUGACGCUGAAGCACGAAAGCGUGGGGAUCGAACAGGAUUAGAUACCCCAGUAGUC
rnacentral:rRNA from 1 species